GUAUGCUUCUCUUAUCAAGAUGCAUUUGGAUUAAAACAGGAUGUUUCAUCAUGAGGCAAAAUGAAACUAGCACUCAGGACUAUUCCAAGGAAGAUGAGGCAGCCUAAUACUGCUUCAAGUAUAUUCCUCUUUAUGAUUGUCAAAUGAACUGUGGUCCCUGAAGGCUGCACACUUCAGGAGCGUCAGGCACCAUAUCAACAUGGCAAUAUUAAGAAGAAAGCUGUGGCACAAAUUGACACCUCUUAUUUCUCGCUAUUUCAUGUCUGCAUUCAUACUGUAAUUUAAAUUGUCUU